AGCAGCCGCGGUAAUUCCAGCUCCAAUAGCGUAUAUUAAAGUUGUUGCAGUUAAAAAGCUCGUAGUUGAAUUUCGGGACCAAUAUGUCGGUCGUGCUUCGGUACGUACUUGCAUUAUUGGUUUCUCCCUUCUGAAGAACCUUGAUGUCAUUAAUUUGGUGUCUUGGGGAAUCAGGACUGUUACUUUGAAAAAAUUAGAGUGUUUAAAGCAGGCUCGCGCUUGAAUACAUUAGCAUGGAAUAAUGAAAUAGGACGUUUGAUUCUAUUUUGUUGGUUUCUAGGAUCGACGUAAUGAUUAAUAGGGAUAGUUGGGGGCAUUAGUAUUCAAUUGUCAGAGGUGAAAUUCUUGGAUUUAUUGAAGACUAACUACUGCGAAAGCAUUUGCCAGGAUGUUUCNUUAAUCAAGAACGAAAGUUAGGGAUCGAAGACGAUCAGAUACCGUCGUAGUCUUAACCAUAAACUAUAGCCGACUAGGGAUCGGAUGAUGUUAAUUUUUAUGACUCAUUCGGCNCCUUAAC
rnacentral:rRNA from 1 species